rnacentral:ncRNA from 14 species
GUCAGGAUGGCCGAGCGGUCUAAGGCGCCAGACUCAAGGUUUCCUUGCCUACAAAGUAGGUUCGAGCGUUCUGGUCCACUCUGUGGGCGUGGGUUCGAAUCCCACUUCUGACA